rnacentral:snoRNA from 1 species
AGCCUCUCAAGGUCGCACCUGGAGAGUUUCCAAUACUCUACCAGUCUCGACUACAGGAGGGAGAGUCACGCAGAGUGAUAUUCAUUCCAUUCCUGGCUUGGGCAGUGGCUAGCUAGUGGAAGGCAAUCUGCUAGAAGU